AGCCAUUUGAGACAAGUGCAACCCUUUCUCCUCCCUGCUGCAGAUGUUACUUAUUAGAUAUCUUUGACUACUAUGGAAAGAUGAAGAAAAAUAAGAGAGAUUAAACUGUCAAGAUAUGAAGGUUCAUCACACAACAAAAUCGAUCGCUUUUUGUCUCCUUUAGAUCAUUUGGCAUGAGACUUUUGAUCCUUGGCUAGGUGCUUCAAUUCCCCUGUUCAGCCUGAAGUAGUUAUAAGAAGACAGACCCUCUGUCUUUCCAUACCCAUUACUGAAAAAUCUUCUUGAAGGAAAAACAGAAUGCUCGGAUGAACACAGGUCCCAUGAGCUGUGAAGAUACCUCAGAGCAAAACCUGGCAGGGAGAUGACAGCCAAGAAUAUGGGGGUUACUUUGGAACAAGAACCCACAAGAUAUUGGAAGAGCUGCUGGUACUUAUCUUGUGGUGUGAAUUCAUAAGAAGUGUGAUGCAAAACUUCUUAAAGAUGUAGCCAAAGUUGGUAUAGAGUAGCCCAUAGCACAUUUUCCAUUCUUAAGCACUAAAACAACUUGCAGUUGUUACAGAUAAGUAUUUGUCAGUAAAUAAAUUCUGUUGUAGAUAAAUAU
rnacentral:lncRNA from 1 species